rnacentral:rRNA from 1 species
GAUGAACGCUGGCGGCGUGCCCAAUACAUGCAAGUCGAGCGAAUGGAUUAAGAGCUUGCUCUUAUGAAGUUAGCGGCGGACGGGUGAGUAACACGUGGGUAACCUGCCCAUAAGACUGGGAUAACUCCGGGAAACCGGGGCUAAUACCGGAUAACAUUUUGAACCGCAUGGUUCGAAAUUGAAUGGCGGCUUCGGCUGGCACUUAUGGAUGGACCCGGGUCGCAUUAGCUAGUUGGUGAGGUAACGGCUCACCAAGGCAACGAUGCGUAGCCGACCUGAGAGGGUGAUCGGCCACACUGGGACUGAGACACGGCCCAGACUCCUGCGGGAGGCAGCAGUAGGGAAUCUUCCGCAAUGGACGAAAGUCUGACGGAGCGACGCCGCGUGAGUGAUGAAGGCUUUCGGGUCGUAAAACUCUGUUGUUAGGGAAGAACAAGUGCUAGUUGAAUAAGCUGGCACCUUGACGGUACCUAACCAGAAAGCCACGGCUAACUACGUGCCAGCAGCCGCCGUAA